CUUAGUGGCAAACGGGUGCGUAACGCGUAAGCAACCUGCCCACAACCGGGGGAUAGCCUGGCGAAAGCCGGGGUAAACCCGCAUAGUCCUUUUCAGUUGCAUAGCUGGUCAGGUAAACAUUUAUGGGUUGUGGAGGGGCUUGCGUCUGAUUAGGUAGUUGGUGGGGUAGUGGCCCACCAAGCCGAUGAUCAGUAGGGGUUCUGAGAGGAUUGGCCCCCACAUGGGUACUGAGAUACGGACCCA
rnacentral:rRNA from 1 species